GAAAUGCGAUAAGUAAUGUGAAUUGCAGAAUUCAGUGAAUCAUCGAAUCUUUGAACGCACAUUGCGCUCGCCAGUAUUCUGGCGAGCAUGCCCGUUCGAGCGUCAUUUCAACCAUCAAGCUCUGCUUGCGUUGGGGAUCCGCGGCUGCCCGCGGUCCCUCAAAAACAGUGGCGGGCUCGCUAGUCACACCGAGCGUAGUAACUCUACAUCGCUAUGGUCGUGCGGCGGGUUCUUGCCGUAAAACCCCCAAUUUCUAAGGUUGACCUCGGAUCAGGUAGGAAUACCCGCUGAACUUAAGC
rnacentral:misc_RNA from 1 species